AUGAUGGCGGCAGCGGGAUGCGGAUCAGCAACCGCGGCUGCCAUAGGAGGCCAAGUUGGUACUGCUGCACCCCGAGGUCGCUUCCCUGGUCGGCCAUGGUCGUCUCGCAGCCGCUUGCGUUCUGAGAAGCGAUGGCAACUCGACCGAUCAGGGGCAGAAGCUGACGAUGUGACUAAUGCUGGAGGCCCAAGGCCCACAAGCCUGGUUKUCUCGUUAAACGAGGACCAGUCUCACUUGCGRUUACUUGGGAUAGAGUCGAACCACAAGAGCUUAGCGGAGGCUGGGUACAGCUCAAGUGGGAGCGAAGAGGAAGAUGAUUUCACAGGAUUUGAAUCUGAUCGUAAAGGAUAUAAAGGCCCCAUACGGUCCAGACAUAAUCCCUCCAAAAGUAAGUAUUAGCCUAUUCUAAACCUAUUCCCAUCCCUUGCCACAGAACUAUUAUUCUUGGGUGGAAUCGAGAUUUUCAUACCGUUAUUCUGCCAUCCCGGGAUUUACAGUAUAACUGGUAUAGCACAGAAGGGGCUCAAAACGCAAAAAAGGCCCAUUGGCAGUCUAUUACCAGAUUUCCAACAAAAUGAGCACAAGUAAUGGCGAAUUCUCAUGGACACUUUUAGCUAAAUGCUAACGAGCACAAAUUAACAAACUAGAGGUCGUCCGAUUGAUUUUUCAACGCCGAUACUGAUUAUUGGAGCACCUGAAAAAAGCCAAUGCCGAUUAUCCGUCCGAUUUUAUAUAUAUAUAUAUAUAUUUGUAAUAAUGACAAUUACAACAAUACUGAAUGAACACUUUUAAUUUAACCUGAUAUAAUAUACCAAUAAAAUCAAUUUAGCCUCAAAUAAAUAAUGAAACAUGUUCAAUAUGGUUUAAAUAAUGCAAAACAAAGUGUUGGUGAAGAAAGUAAAAGCGCAAUAUUUGCCAUGUGAAAACGUUUAAGUUCCUUGCUCAGAACAUAUGAAAGCUGGUGGUUCCUUUUGACAUGAGUCUUCAAUAUUCCCAGGUAAGAAGUUUUAUGUUGUAGUUAUUAUGGGAAUAAUAGGACUAUUUAUCUCUACACCAUUUAUUUAAUUUACCUUUGACUAUUGGAUGUUCUUAUAUGCACUGGUAUUGCCAGCCUAAUCUCGGGAGUUGAUAGGCUUGAAGUCAUAAACAGCGCAAUGCUUGAAGCACAGCGAAGAGCAGCUGGCAAAUGCAGGAAAGUGCUGUUUGAAUGAAUGCUUACGAGCCUGCUGCUGCCUUCCACCGCUCAGUCAGACUGCUCUAUCAAAUCAUAUACUUAAUUAUAAUAUAAUAACACGCAGAAAUACAUUCAUAUGGCCAAAUCCGGAAAUGAUCAUUUCAAAAAACAAAACGUUUAUUCUUUCAGUGAAAUACGGAACCGUUCUGUAUUUUAUCUAACUUGUUGCAUCCCUAAGUCUAAAUAAUGCUGUUACAUUGCACAAGUUUCAAUGUUAUGUCAUAAUUAUGUACAAUUCUGGCAAAUUAAUUGCGGUCUUUGUUAGGAAGAAAUGGUCUUCACACAGUUCGCAAUGAGCCAGGCAGCCCAAACUGCUGCAAAUACCCUGACUCUGCUUGUACAGAACGCAAGAGAAGUGACGCAAUUUAUAUAGUUAAAACAAAUUCAUGUUGGCAGGAAAUAUUAACUAAAUAUGCAGGUUUAAAAAUAUGUACUUAUGUUUUGAUUUUAAGAAAGGCAUUGAUAUUUAUGGUUAGGUUGGUGCAACGACAGUGAUUUGUUUUGCGAACGAGCUUGUUAAAUCAUCACCGUUUGGGGAAGUAGGCUGUGAUUCAAAGAUAAAAUGCUGAUUACCGAUUUUGUUAUGAAAACUUGAUAUCAGCCCUAAUUAAUCGGCCAUUCCGAUUAAUCGGUCGACCUCUAGUCUGAACAUCAGACAGGAUGGCAUUGUCUCCCUCAAUCCGUGCAAUGGCUACUGCUAUAGGUUUCAGGAGUUUCAGGCUGCUUAUACCACUCUCUCCCAAAAUACAUCAUCCAGGAGGAUCCUCUUGAUGGGGCUGUCCAUAUUGGCAGACUGUGAUAUGGCCAUUUCUUGGAGAGAUUCCUUCCCCUCCAGGAUACUGUCAAAUAUGACGACAACACUCCAAUAGGUGUUGCUGGGCAGCUUCAAUGUGGUGCUCUUAUUUUUAUCACUUUGCUUGAUGAGG
rnacentral:lncRNA from 1 species